rnacentral:rRNA from 1 species
UUCCGGUUGAUCCUGCCGGAGGCUACCGCUAUUGGAGUUCGAUUAAGCCAUGCGAGUCGAGAGUCUUAGGGACUCGGCGUACCGCUCAGUAACACGUGGGUAACCUGCCCUAUGCUGGGGGAUAACCUCGGGAAACUGAGAAUAAUACCCCAUAGUUCACCACGCCUGGAACGGUGGGUGGACCAAAGCUCCGGCGGCAUAGGAUGGGCCUGCGGCGUAUCAGGUUGUAGGGGGUGUAAUGUACCCUCUAGCCCUCUACGCGUACGGGUGUUGAGAGACAUCGCCCGGAGAUGGAUUCUGAGACACGAAUCCAGACCCUACGGGGUGCAGCAGGCGCGAAAACUUGGCAAUGCGAGAAAUCGUGACCAGGGAACUCCAAGUGCAUCGGGUAAGACCGAUGCUUUUCUUGACUCUUAAAAGGUCUUGGAAUAAGGGGUGGGUAAGGACGGUGCCAGCCGCCGCGGUAAUACCGGCGCCCCAAGUGGUAGUCGCUUUUAUUGGGCCUAAAACGUCCGUAGCCGGUCUGGUACAUUCGUGGGUAAAUCAACCAGCUCAACUGGUUGAAUUCUGCGAGCACGGCCAGACUUGGGACCGGGAGAGGUGUGGGGUACUCUCAGGGUAGGGGUAAAAUCCUGUCAUCCUGAGAGGACCACCUGUUGCGAAGGCGCCACACUAGAACGGAUCCGACGGUCAGGGACGAAGCCUAGGGGCACGAACCGGAUUAGAUACCCGGGUAGUCCUAGGUGUAAACGCUGUGGACUUGAUGUUGGGGGCGCUCCGAGCGCACUCAGUGUCGAAGCGAAGGUGAUAAGUCCACUGCCUGGGGAGUACGGUCGCAAGGCUGAAACUUAAAGGAAUUGGCGGGGGAGCACUGCAACCUGAGGAUUGUGCGGUUUAAUUGGAUUCAACGCCGGA